rfam:Schistocephalus solidus strain NST_G2 genome assembly, scaffold: SSLN_scaffold0001800
CGCCUCGUAGCUCAGCUGGCUAGAGCGUUUACUGUACUACAGCCUUCCCCUUGCUGGUGUGGGUUCGAACCCCACCGAGGCCG